AUUAAAGUGAAGAUUUCCUCAGGUAAAGGGUAUUAACUCCCACUGAAAGUAUUAGUUAGAUAAAAGACAUGAAGCUUUUGCUUCUGGAUUACCAACACAGUUAGUCAGUAUCCAACGCCCUGGAGGUGAUCCACAGCCCACUUUUCUCGGACCUAUAGAGAAACAUCUUGGAGGUCUAACAAGCAAUCUAGUUUCCAUGGCUGAGGACUAAGAUGAUGAUGUGACCAAAGAUUUCGGUCCGUAAAUCUGAAAGUAUUAUGUUCUUAGUUUGAUUUGGGGUAAAUCUUUUCAUAGAAAAAGUUUUGAGCCAGGAUAUACAAUUCUCCAUCUUUUUCCCGGACUGCGUGUGCUCUGACAAACUGAAAUUGCUCCAGUGCAAAUUCAUAGAACUCAUUCUCCAUUUUCCAGAUUUCAGACUGUUGCAGCUUGGCAAUAGUUUCUUUUGUGGGAAGUUUUUUCUCAGUUGUUUUCCUAAGAUGAGACUUCUUUCCUGUCCGGUACAGUUCUGUGGCACCCCUGAAGAACCGGGGCAAAGCUGCCUCCAAUAACAUGAUGAAAUCUUCAAGCUCUUCAGUAACUCCCACGAGGAAGUAUUCAUUAAUCAGGUUGUACUUGGCUUGUUCCAAAGCCCAUCUGCUUCCCACAUUCCAGCACUCGGAGCUGUGGCCACAGAAGAAUGGAAUUUGAAGCCAAAGUUUCUCUGGAGCACAGUCUGACCCUCCAGCUGCCACACAUUCAUCAAAGGUCUUCUUAUCCCCCUGUUUUCUCCUUCGUAGCCCUGGUCUGUAAUCGUCUCCAAAGCGCAGAAAGUAAUAAUAAGAAACUAGCCGUUCUAUGGGAUCUCUUAUGACGUUUAUGUAAAUGGGUUUCUUUUUAACACCAAAUUUCGCAAAGUCCAAAUACGAUACGUGUCCGUGGUAAAAUCCUGGUUUCAUUUCCUUCCAGGAAGUCACGUUCUUCACAAACCGAACCUGAUCUUGCAGAGACAUCACAGGAUUAUUUUUGGUUGUAUUGAUAUGUAGAACAUGGUAUCUGUUCUUUGCACAAAGAUCAUAGGCAAUAUUUGUGAAGGAUGUGCUGGCAGUCUUAGGUACUCUAUUGUAAAUAAUCACCACAUCAUCUUCUUCAUCCAGUGCCACUUCUUGUCGGGGGCCAUCUGCUGUAUGACGUUGUUCUAUCUCUCUGACUUCAUGUCUUGCAAUAGCCCUUUCCAGCUUGCCGCGGGACUCCUCCAGCUUCUGGAUCUGGUUCUCCAGGAAGAGCACCGCCACGCCGAACACCAGCACGGCCAGCAGCUGCAACUUGGGCGGCAGCAUGAUCCUGAGCAGCCCCAUCGGCAGCCCCGGCGGCGCCGCCCGCCCGGGAUCACGACAUAACGCGGGGCCCGGCCGGGCGGGCAGGCGGGAGCCGCGGCAGCCGCCGCUCCGACGGCGCGAGCGAGGGGAGGCGCGCGCAGGGCCCGCUCACAUCGCCCCGGCCCGGCCCCGAGCGCCGCGCGGCCGCCACUAACGCGCCCCUCCCCCG
rnacentral:lncRNA from 1 species